rnacentral:sRNA from 1 species
UACCUGAAUAAAGCGCAGGGCACAAUG